rnacentral:rRNA from 1 species
GACGAACGCUGGCGGCAUGCCUAAUACAUGCAAGUCGAACGCUGAACCCCGUGCUUGCACGGGGGAAGGAGUGGCGAACGGGUGAGUAACACGUGGGAAACCUGCCCAUGAGAGGGGGAUAACAUCCGGAAACGGGUGCUAAUACCGCAUACGUACUGAAACCGCCUGGUUUCAGUAUAAAAGAUGGCCUUGGUGCUAUCGCUCAUGGAUGGUCCCGCGGCGUAUUAGCUAGUUGGUAGGGUAAGAGCCUACCAAGGCGAUGAUACGUAGCCGACCUGAGAGGGUGAUCGGCCACAUUGGGACUGAGACACGGCCCAGACUCCUACGGGAGGCAGCAGUAGGGAAUCUUCCACAAUGGGUGCAAACCUGAUGGAGCAAUGCCGCGUGAGUGAAGAAGGUCUUCGGAUCGUAAAGCUCUGUUGUGAGAGAAGAACGGGUUGGGGAGGAACUGCCCUGACCGUGACGGUACCUCACCAGAAAGUCACGGCUAACUACGUGCCAGCAGCCGCGGUAAUACGUAGGUGACAAGCGUUGUCCGGAAUUAUUGGGCGUAAAGCGAGCGCAGGCGGUCUUUUAAGUCUGAUGUGAAAGCCCACGGCUCAACCGUGGAGGGUCAUUGGAAACUGAGAGACUGGAAUGCAGAAGAGGAAAGCGGAAUUCCAUGUGUAGCGGUGAAAUGCGUAGAUAUAUGGAGGAACACCAGUGGCGAAAGCGGCUUUCUGGUCUGUGAUUGACGCUGAGGCUCGAAAGCGUGGGGAGCGAACAGGAUUAGAUACCCUGGUAGUCCACGCCGUAAACGAUGAGUGCUAAGUGUUGGAGGGUUUCCGCCCUUCAGUGCUGGAGCAAACGCAUUAAGCACUCCGCCUGGGG